UGAGUUAGUGGCGGACGGGUGAGUAACGCGUGGAAAACCUGCCGUAUACUGGGGGAUAACACUUAGAAAUAGGUGCUAAUACCGCAUAAGCGCACGGGGCUGCAUGGCCCAGUGUGAAAAACUCCGGUGGUAUAAGAUGGACCCGCGUCUGAUUAGCUUGUUGGCGGGGUAACGGCCCACCAAGGCGACGAUCAGUAGCCGGCCUGAGAGGGUGGACGGCCACAUUGGGACUGAGACACGGCCCAAACUCCUACGGAAGGCAGCAG
rnacentral:rRNA from 1 species